rnacentral:rRNA from 1 species
CAAUAGCGUAUAUUUAAGUUGUUGCAGUUAAAAAGCUCGUAGUUGGAUUUCGGAUGGGACUUGCCGGUCCGUCGUUUCGAUGUGCACUGGCCAGUCCUAUCUUGUUGUCGGGGACUAGCUCCUGGGCUUCACUGUCCGGGACUAGGAGCUGACGAGGUUACUUUGAGUAAAUUAGAGUGUUCAAAGCAAGCCUACGCUCUGAAUACAUUAGCAUGGAAUAACACGAUAGGACUCUGGCUUAUCUUGUUGGUCUGUGGGACCAGAGUAAUGAUUAAGAGGGACAGUCGGGGGCAUUCGUAUUUCAUUGUCAGAGGUGAAAUUCUUGGAUUUAUGAAAGACGAACUUCUGCGAAAGCAUUUGUCAAGGAUGUUUNCAUUA